rnacentral:lncRNA from 1 species
UGGGCGCGGGUGUGCCCGUGGCCUAUUUUUGGCACACGGAGGCCGCCCGCAAAGUCUGGGGCCAUUCCGAGUCCGGCGGACGAACCUCGCCCACGCCCCCCACCAAGGCUAUAGCCCACCCGUUUUUUGGCCAUUUUUCCGCUGGGGGGUCUUGGCGCCCCGACCUUCGGGGGCUGAUUUUUGGGCGCGGGUGUGCCCGUGGCCUAUUUUUGGCACACGGAGGCCGCCCGCAAAGUCUGGGGCCAUUCCGAGUCCGGCGGACGAACUUCGCCCACGCCCCCCACCAAGGCUAUAGCCCACCCGUUUUUUGGCCAUUUUUCCGCUGGGUGGUCUUGGCGCCCCGACCUUCGGGGGCUGAAUUUUGGGCGCGGGUGUGCCCGUGGCCUAUUUUUGGCACACGGAGGCCGCCCGCAAAGUCUGGGGCCAUUCCGAGUCCGGCGGACGAACUUCGCCCACGCCCCCCACCAAGGCUAUAGCCCACCCGUUUUUUGGCCAUUUUUCCGCUGGGGGGUCUUGGUGCCCCGACCUUCAGGGGCUGAAUUUUGGGCGCGGGUUUGCCCGUGGCCUAUUUUUGGCACACGGAGGCCGCCCGCAAAGUCUGGGGCCAUUCCGAGUCCGGCGGACGAACUUCGCCCACGCCCCCCACCAAGGCUAUAGCCCACCCGUUUUUUGGCCAUUUUUCCGCUGGGGGGUCUUGGCGCCCCGACCUUCGGGGGCUGAAUUUUGGGCGCGGGUGUGCCCGUGGCCUAUUUUUGGCACACGGAGGCCGCCCGCAAAGUCUGGGGCCAUUCCGAGUCCGGCGGACGAACUUCGCCCACGCCCCCCACCAAGGCUAUAGCCCACCCGUUUUUUGGCCAUUUUUCCGCUGGGGGGUCUUGGCGCCCCGACCUUCGGGGGCUGAUUUUUGGGCACGGCUGUGCCCGUGGCCUAUUUUUGGCACACGGAGGCCGCCCGCAAAGUCUGGGGCCAUUCCGAGUCCGGCGGACGAACUUCGCCCACGCCCCCCACCAAGGCUAUAGCCCACCCGUUUUUUGGCCAUUUUUCCGCUGGGGGGUCUUGGCGCCCCGACCUUCGGGGGCUGAUUUUUGGGCGCGGGUGUGCCCGUGGCCUAUUUUUGGCACACGGAGGCCGCCCGCAAAGUCUGGGGCCAUUCCGAGUCCGGCGGACGAACUUCGCCCACGCACCCCACCAAGGCUAUAGCCCACCCGUUUUUUGGCCAUUUUUCCGCUGGGGGGUCUUGGCGCCCCGACCUUCGGGGGCUGAUUUUUGGGCGCGGCUGUGCCCGUGGCCUAUUUUUGGCACACGGAGGCCGCCCGCAAAGUCUGGGGCCAUUCCGAGUCCGGCGGACGAACUUCGCCCGCGCCCCCCACCAAGGCUAUAGCCCCCCG